GCCGGGCGCGGUGCCUCACGCCUGUAAUCCCAGCACUUUGGGAGGCCGAGACAGGUGGAUCGCUUGAGGUCAGGAGUUCGAGACCAGCCUGGCCAAUAUGGCGAAACCCUGUCUCUA
rfam:Gorilla gorilla gorilla genomic chromosome, chr2B, whole genome shotgun sequence